UACAGAGGGUGCGAGCGUUGUCCGGAAUCACUGGGCGUAAAGGGCGCGUAGGUGGCGACCCAAGUCGAUGGUGAAAGCUCGCCGCUCAACGGCGAGUCGGCCACCGAUACUGGGUUGCUGGAGCACUGUAAAGGCAGGAUGGAAUUCCGGGUGUAGCGGUGGAAUGCGUAGAGAUCCGGAAGAACACCGGUGGCGAAGGCGGUCUGCUGGGCAGUUGCUGACACUGAGGAACGAAAGCCAGGGGAGCAAACGGG
rnacentral:rRNA from 1 species